GGAGUAUCUUACAUCUAUGAAGACUGUUGGUCUCUCUUGUUGCACACACGGCAAAAACGAAAAUGACCAUUUUUAAGCCAAUUUACACCAAUGUCCAUCACUUUCGUAUCCCGUAUUACCGUAACGGCUUUUAUGAUCCUCUCCACACGCAACACCAACGUCGUUGGCCUUUGAUAAACUGCUGGAACAUUGUUCAAGAGUGCUGUACCAAGUGCAACCACCUACAGGCCCAAAACACUCUAUAUCUUUUUUGCCCUCUUGUUGAACUGCAACAUGAUCGCCUGCGGGAUUCGCAACACAAAACCGAAAAGAAAUAGGUCCAUCUAAACAGAACCAAAAUUUAAUGUCAGUAACUAAAUAACUAUAAAUUAGAUAAAAAAUGCCACAUUUCCCUCCCAUUUCUCAGCAUUCAAAAAGUCCUUUUCAGUUAUUGACUUAAGGUUCAAAGAUGUGUAAUUAAUUGGUAUCAUGUUGACUCUUGAAAAUAAAACCAUAUAUAAAUAAGAAAGACACUGCAAAA